GAUGAACGCUGGCGGCGUGCCUAACACAUGCAAGUCGAGCGAUCUUCUUCGGAAGAGAGCGGCGGACGGGUGAGUAACGCGUGGGUAACCUGCCUCAUACACAUGGAUAACAUACCGAAAGGUAUGCUAAUACAAGAUGAUAUAAGAGAUUCGCAUGGAUUUCUUAUCAAAGCUCCGGCGGUAUGAGAUAGACCCGCGUCUGAUUAGCUAGUUGGUAAGGUAAUGGCUUACCAAGGCUUCGAUCAGUAGCCGACCUGAGAGGGUGAUCGGCCACAUUGGAACUGAGACACGGUCCAAACUCCUACGGGAGGCAGCAGUGGGGAAUAUUGCACAAUGGGCGAAAGCCUGAUGCAGCAACGCCGCGUGAGCGAUGAAGGCCUUCGGGUCGUAAAGCUCUGUCCUCAAGGAAGAUAAUGACGGUACUUGAGGAGGAAGCCCCGGCUAACUACGUGCCAGCAGCCGCCGUAAGAC
rnacentral:rRNA from 1 species